rnacentral:tRNA from 1 species
GCCUGGGUGGCUCAGUCGGUUAAGCGUCUGACUUCGGCUCAGGUCAUGAUCUCGCGGUCCGUGGGUUCGAGCCCCAUGUCAGGCU